GACGAACGCUGGCGGCGUGCUUAACACAUGCAAGUCGAACGGAAAGGCCCUGCUUUUGUGGGGUGCUCGAGUGGCGAACGGGUGAGUAACACGUGAGUAACCUGCCCUUGACUUUGGGAUAACUUCAGGAAACUGGGGCUAAUACCGGAUAGGAGCUCCUGCUGUUUGGGGGGGGUUGGAAAGUUUUGGCGGUUGGGGAUGGACUCGCGGCUUAUCAGCUUGUUUGUGGGGUAGUGGCUUACCAAGGCUUUGACGGGUAGCCGGCCUGAGAGGGUGACCGGCCACAUUGGGACUGAGAUACGGCCCAGACUCCUACGGGAGGCAACGGUGGGGAAGAUUGCACAAUGGGCGGAAGCCUGAUGCAGCGACGCCGCGUGCGGGAUGACGGCCUUCGGGUUGUAAACCGCUUUCGCCUGUGACGAAGCGUGAGUGACGGUAAUGGGUAAAGAAGCACCGGCUAACUACGUG
rnacentral:rRNA from 1 species